rnacentral:lncRNA from 1 species
CAGAGCCAGGCACCCAUGCUUAGGCUCCUUCCCUGAAAAGCGGCAGGAGGGCUGACCUCACCAGAUCGUUUGGCUGAUUAGACCUAUUCGCAUAUUCAUAUGCAAAAAGUGCUGCCUCUGUCUUGCUGUUCACUGUCUCCGAGGCUGCAGAGGUGUGUCAGCAAGUCCUCUGGGUAAAAACCAGCUGGCUCCUGGGCCAUCAUGUGAAAGUCUGAUGAGGUAAUUCUCAGGAUACAGAUGGACGUCUGUGCUCUGAAGUUUAAUCCUCUCACCCAAGAUCAAAGAGAAAGUAAGUGCACAGCCAGAACUGAGCCCUGGUUUAUCUGUUGUCAAACCCACAUUCUUCACUGUGAAGCUAAUAUUUGCACAAAGUAAAGAAAUAAAAAAAGAGAUAAAUGAAAUUAAAAAGAUGUGAGAAGAAGAACACAGGCCACCGAGAGCUAACAUGUAGACAGUGGGUGCCUGUAACGUCAGGAACAGAACAAGUGGAAGAGAAGGGCAAGCACGUUCAGAAGGACCAGAGAAGAAAUCAUGCUCAAGCAAAGAAUUCAAUCUGCUGCUUGAAAGGCCACAUCAUAUUCCUGGAAAAUUUUAAUAACAAAAAUAAAUCCUAAGGUAUGUCUUGCUAGAAAUAUUUAACUCUAAGGAUUAAGAAAGAAUACUACAAGCUUUCAGGCAGAAGAAAAGGCUCAUGGCCUAAAGGAGGAAAAAUGCAGAGCAACAUGGACCUUAGACUUGUCCUCGACACAGCUCUAUCGCAGAAGCAAAUUUCACGGUAGCUUUAGGAGAACAUGAGAGUCCUAAUGUUUGUACCCAGUGAAGUUUUUCUUCAUGUAUAAAUUCAACAAAAAAUCAUAAUAAAAAGGUCAAUGAAUCCCUUCUGAAAAAACUAGUAAGCCAUAUUUGAAAUGACUGCAAAUGAAGACUUCAGACAAAGGGAAGGUAUCAUGACAGGGCUGGCGGUGAGCACUGACAUGUGGAACUGAGGGUAAACAACUCGAUAAUUCUACUUAUGCAAUGCUGUGAAGUCAAUCAUUUGAAGGAAAAGAUUGGGAAGUAAAAUUUUAAAAUACUGUCUAAUAUACAGAAACUAAAAUUCCUGGGUUUAUAAACAAAAGGAAGAAGUAGUACCAACAUCAAAUCAUCUAGUCUUUCCUCCACUGUUUUGAUGUAGCUUUGGUAGAAUUAUUUCAUUUUAAAAUUUUGUUCCUGAAGUUUUGAAAAGAAAAUGUAAUGCUAUCUAUCCAUGUUCUUAUAAAAUUAGUCACUAUGAGAAGUAAGGACAAAUUAUAUAGCUCUGAAACUAUCACAUUCUGAAAAAACACUGAACAGAAAACAAAAGAUACAAAAGAAAGAAAGAGAAAGUAUUUCAUUUUGACCAAAAAGAAUGAGGAGCACUGAUAACUUAAUAUGUGAAAAUCUAUUAACAUAAUUCACUCUGUUGACAGAUUUAUGAAGAAAACAUAUGGUCAUCUCAGUAGAUACAGGAAAAAAAUUCAAUUAAAUUUAAUACUCAUAUGUGAUCAAAUAACUCUUAGUAAACCAAUAAGCAAAUAAUCUUAACUUGAUUUUAAAAAGGCUCAACAAAAUUAGACAUCAUCUCGUUUGGGUGGUGAAACAUUAGAAGCAUUGUUUUGUUUUUUGAACAAAAAAGUUGUCUAUUACCAUUGUUUUAAUUGAUAAAUAUUAUAUUAAAAUUCUAGAAAGUAUCAGUCAAAGAAAAGAAUCCCUGCCUUAAACAAAUUCCAAAUGAGAUAAAAUAUACAGAGAGAAGAAUCAGAAAGAAACACAGAUAUUAUUUCCAGCAACAAUGAAUUAGAAAAUGUAAUUAUAAAGGUUUCUGCCAACCAUAAAGCAAAACUUACAAGUAUCUGGGAAUGCAUCUAACAUGAUGCAAGCCUGAUUUUUUAUUGAGAAAAUUAUAACACAAUUUGAAAAUGACUAAAUAAGUGGAAAUUUGUUCUGGAUUUACAAGUGGGAAGCCAACCUUAAAACAAUAUCAAGUCUCUCUGAUUUAACUUAUGAUAAAGUCCAUACAAUUCUAGUCAAAACCCUGCAGGGUUGUUAAUAAAACUUGACAUUAAUCUUUAUCAUAAAAUCCUUACGAAAGGGUAAAGGUCUAACGAUAGUGAAGCUAUGUCCUAAAGAAGGAUGUUGGCUGGGGAGACUGCCUGACCAUUUAUCCCGGCUUUAUAAGAUUACAGUAAUUAGAACAGGAUGACAUCAACACACGAGAUAAACAGAGACCAAGGAUACGGCUUUGAGGGCUCAGAAGCUGGUCCAUGUAUAUUUAGGUUAAAAAGUAAAGCUUUAAGAUUUGUAGGAGAAAGAACAGGGCAAUGGCCAAUGUUGGUAAAGAUGUGGAGGAAAGAUGACUCUUCUGCCCUGUGUUUAGAGGUUUGGGAAGGAGGAGGGGGACGUGUAAAUGGGACAAUUUAUUGGAAGACAGUUUGUCUCUUCUGGUGAAGCUGAUGAUGGCAAUACCCUAUAAUGCUACAUUUUACUAAUUCAGGAGAUAGUCCACAGAAAAUCUCACAUAUCAGGACUUUUAUUAAAGCGUUAUUUAUAAAAACGAAUAUUAGAAAAAAACCAAAAUGUCCAUACCUGGGAAAAUGGGUAAAUUCUGCCAUAUUUAUAAAAUACUACACAGUAAUUCUUCUGAAAAUUUAAGUCUUAAUAUGUCUACAUGGAGAACAGGAUGAGGACAGAAAUUUCAACUGUGUGAGUGACAGCAAUCCUUUGAGAAGAAAUAAUAUUCAGAGUAGAAACUGAAAACAGAGUUGAAUGACAUAACCAAUACGUUGACAACUGGCACCUGCAUUCCUCUUGGGGAGAAAUUUGUCUCUGUUUAGGGGGAAAGGGCUUAAUCAACUCAGAUUUAGAAGGAAGAACUCAGAUAAUAUAUUCUGGGGUAAAAGAUACCUGAAAGAGGGUGCCGCAUGGUAUUAAACUCUGAUUAAUUUAGGACCGACCGUGAGACAAUAGAAAAUGUUUACUUAAAAGCUGAAUAUUCCAGUUCAAAGAUUUUAAUAUUUGUAAAUUUUACAAGUAUCAUAUAUUACCUUUGUAAUUAAAAAAAUAAUUAUUAAGAAGUUUCGGGCCGGGCGCGGUGGCUCACGCCUGUAAUCCC